AAAAAGGGCUUCUGUCAUGAGUGACACAUAAAGCAGCUCGUUUUUCUGCACGUGCUGAAUCGACAUCAAAAGAUUUCAGAAGCAUAAUUUUUGUUGUUUGGGCAGCUGGUGAUCGUUGGUCUUGGUGUCAUU
ensembl:snRNA